rnacentral:rRNA from 1 species
UACGUAGGGUGCGAGCGUUAAUCGGAAUUACUGGGCGUAAAGCGUGCGUAGGUGGUGAGGUAAGUCGGAUGUGAAAUCUCCAGGCUCAACCUGGAAAUGGCAUCGGAAACUACCUUGCUCGAGGUUUGGAGGGGGGACUGGAAUACUUGGUGUAGCAGUGAAAUGCGUAGAUAUCAAGUGGAACACCAGUGGCGAAGGCGAGUCCCUGGACAAAACCUGACACUGAGGCACGAAAGCUAGGGGAGCAAACAGG